CUUGCUCCGCUGACGAGUGGCGAACGGGUGAGUAAUAUAUCGGAACGUGCCCUAGGUGGGGGAUAACGUAGCGAAAGUUACGCUAAUACCGCAUACGAUCUACGGAUGAAAGUGGGGGAUCGCAAGGCCUCAUGCUCAUGGAGCGGCCGAUAUCUGAUUAGCUAGUUGGUAGGGUAAAAGCCUACCAAGGCUUCGAUCAGUAGCUGGUCUGAGAGGACGACCAGCCACACUGGGACUGAGACACGGCCCAGACUCCUACGGGAGGCAGCAGUGGGGAAUUUUGGACAAUGGGGGCAACCCUGAUCCAGCAAUGCCGCGUGAGUGAAGAAGGCCUUCGGGUUGUAAAGCUCUUUUGUCAGGGAAGAAACGGUGGGGGCUAAUAUCCUCUGCUAAUGACGGUACCUGAAGAAUAAGCACCGGCUAACUACGUGCCAGCAGCCGCGGUAAUACGUAGGGUGCAAGCGUUAAUCGGAAUUACUGGGCGUAAAGCGUGCGCAGGCGGUUGUGCAAGACAGAUGUGAAAUCCCCGGGCUCAACCUGGGAAUUGCAUUUGUGACUGCACGGCUAGAGUGUGUCAGAGGGGGGUAGAAUUC
rnacentral:rRNA from 1 species